rnacentral:rRNA from 1 species
UUUAGCAAGCACCCCCUGAGCAAAGAGAAUUUAGUUCAGCACCCCGAAACUAGACGAGCUACUUCAAGACAGCCUAAUAAACCGAAGGGCACACCCGUCUCUGUUGCAAAAGAGUGGGAAGAUCUUCAAGUAGUGGUGACAAGCCUACCGAGCCUAGUUUUAGCUGGUUGUCUGAGAAAUGAAUUUAAGUUCAGCCUCCUGAUUCCCAAAGUCAAAAGCACCUAUGCCCACAAAGACCUCGCGGCACAUCAAGAGAGUUAGUCAAGCGGGGUACAGCCCGCCUGAAAAAGGAUACAACCUCUAACGGAAGACUAAAGAUCAUAUCAACCAAGGAACUUCACCUUAGUGGGCCCAAAAGCAGCCACCUAUAAUGAAAGCGUUACAGCUCCCGUACAAACUACAUCCAGUAAUACCGAACAGUUCUCUUUAAUCCCCCACACUAUCAGACCCUCCCACCAACCCUGGGAAAGAUUAUGCUAAAAUGAGUAAUAAGAGGGUACGCCCCUCUCCCCCACACAUGUUCAAGUCGGAACGGACCCGCCCCCGACAACUAAACGACCUCCCCCGAGAGCAGUGUACUGCCACACAAAUAGCAAGAAAAUCAGACACGUCUAAUUCGUUGACCCAACACAGGUGUGUAGCCCCGGAAAAACUAAAGUAAAGGGAAGGAACUCGGCAAACACAAGCCUCGCCUGUUUACCAAAAACAUCGCCUCUUGCAAAAUUAACGAAUAAGAGGUCCAGCCUGCCCAGUGACCCUGUUAAACGGCCGCGGUAUCUUGACCGUGCAAAGGUAGCGCAAUAAAUUGUCUCUUAAUUGGAGACUAGUAUGAAAGGCAUCACGAGGGCUUAACUGUCUCCCCUUUAAAGUUAAUGAAAUUGAUCUCCCCGUGCAGAAGCGGGGAUACGCUCGUAAGACGAGAAGACCCUAUGGAGCUUUAGACACAAAGACAACCCAUGUAAAACACCCCCUCAAAGGAACAAAACAAACUGGGCCUUGUUAGUAUGUCUUCGGUUGGGGCGACCACGGAGAAAAACAGAACCUCCACAUGGAUUGGGGCCACUAGCCCUUAAGACACAGACCCACAGGUCCAAUUAACAGCAUAUCUGACCACAAAGAACCGGCACAAGCCGAUCAAUGGACCAAGUUACCCUAGGGAUAACAGCGCAAUCCCCUCAAAGAGGCCUUAUCGAAGAGAGGGUUUACGACCUCGAUGUUGGAUCAGGACAUCCUAAUGGUGCAGCCGCUAUUAAGG